AGUUCCUCUCCCCGCAAGCCCGCCGCCGAUUCCACGCCGCUCUGGCGUCCUGUUCCACCUCCAUGCUGAUCCUGUCCAACCUAGUGUUUCUCGGGGGCAGUCAAGUGGGGAAGAUCUACUGGAACAGGAUCUUCAUACAAGGCUGGCCAUAUGUGACCCUCUCUGUCCUGGGAUUCCUCUACUGCUACUCCCACGUGGGCAUCGCCUGGGCCCAGACAUACUCAGUGGACUAAUGCCGCCCGGCCGGCACCAGCCCUUCCUGCUGGCCUCCAAGGCAAAUGGUGCUUCACCCUGACCUCGCACACCAAGAUGACCUCCAAGGAACCAGUGCUUCAUCUGCCCAUCUUUUGUUGAAGUUACCUCACUCCAAGACUGGAAGCUUGAGCUCUCAUAGAAAAUUGACAACCAGUGAGGCUUCUAACUUUGGGGACCCAGAGCUCAUCUCCCCCAGCCCCAUCAUUUUCCUGUUGAGUAAGCAGGGGUCCAUAGCAGUAUUAUCUUGCCCAGCUGCACAUGGUGACAUUGUGGUCUAGAACCCAGUCCCAGGGGCCCUUCGGGUUCUUUCUACUUUACCAAGAAUUAAAUGCAAUAGACAUUUCUCAACUGGAGCACAGAAGCCCUGAUUAGUGAUAAGGCCUGUCCUCCACUGGCCAUAUUUCUGAAAUAUUUUGCUAACAUUUAAGUGACCUCUUCCCCAUGUCCUGCAGUGUGGUCUCUAGAACCAGCACUGAGGUCUGAGCUUCCCACUUCAGCUCCCUAGCAGGGAGGAGACAAAGCCACAGUCAAGUUUCUCAUUGCCCAGUCAAAGAAGACACAGCCUGUCAAAGAAGACACAACCUGUCCUAUAGUGUUCCAAGGGGCCAGUACCUAAGGAGAUCUGUUAUUGGAACACCGUCACUGUGAUCGACAUGUGGAUGCUUGUUCCCUAGAUUUGCAGAGAAGUAUAAACAUGGCAGUUCUUCUACCAGACAGUUAAUCUUCAUUUCUCAGUAAAGAAGCAGAAUUAAGGAACCAUGAGCUAGCGCGUCCACAGACAGGUGCUAUCAGGCAAGUGACAAAGGGUAGGGAUGGUUUCCUGGGGUCUUUUCUCCUCUCCACACAAGGAAGCCCCCAGCUUCCUGCUCACUGGUGUACACUCAGUGGUUUACAUUGUUUUGUUUUGUUUCAAAUAAAAUGGAGCCUUUUCUGUCACACUGA